rnacentral:rRNA from 1 species
GACGAACGCUGGCGGCGUGCCUAAUACAUGCAAGUAGAACGCUGAAGAGCGGAGCUUGCUCUUCGCUGGUGAGUCGAGCACGUGUGAGUCACGCGUGUGUCAUCUGCCUUGUUGCGGGGGAUCACUAGUGGAAACGAUAGCAAAUACCGCAGGACCAUGGAUGACACAUGGCAUGUAGUUGAAUGUGGCAGUUGCUCCACUACAUGAUGGACUUGCGUUGUACUAGCUAGUAGGUGGGGUAACUGCUCACCUAGGCGAGGAUGCAUAGCCGGCCUGAGAGGGCGGUCAGCCACACUGAGACGGAGACACGGCCCAGACGCAUACGGGAGGCAGCAGGAGGGAAUCUUCAGGCAUGAGGGGAAACCUGACCAAGCAACGCCGCGGGAGUGAAGAGGGGUGUCGGGUCGUAAAGCUCUGUUGUAAGUCAAGAACGCGUGUGAGCGUGGAAAGUUCACACUGUGACGGUAGCUUAUCAGAAAGCAACGGCUAACUACGUG